rnacentral:rRNA from 1 species
UACAGAGGUCUCGAGCGUUAGGCGGAAUCACUGGGCUUAAAGCGUGUGUAGGCGGAUCGGUAAGUACCUUGUGAAAUCCCACGGCUUAACCGUGGAACUGCUUGGUAUACUGCCAGUCUUGAGCCAUCUAGGGGCUACCGGAACAAAUGGUGGAGCGGUGAAAUGCGUAGAUAUCAUUGGAACGCCAAUGGUGAAAACAGGUAGCUGGGGAUGUGCUGACGCUGAG